GAAUCCGAGAAUUUCACCUCCAACACCGUAAUACGAAUGCCCCCGUCAGUCCCUCUUAAUCAUUACCUCGAGCUCCGAAAACCAACAAAAUAGAACCGAGGUCCUCUUCCAUUAUUCCAUGCACUAAUAUUCAGGCUGUGUAGCCUGCUUUGAACACUCUAAUUUUUUCAAAGUAAACGUCCCGGCCACCACAGACACUCAAUCAAGAGCAUCUGCGGGCGAACCGGCAGGUAGGUCAGGACAGGCAGUAGUCGCCGCGAGGCGAACCGCCGGCCUGAGACCAGAGAUCCAACUACGAGCUUUUUAACUGCAACAACUUUAAUAUACGCUAUUGGAGCUGGAAUUACCGCUC
rnacentral:misc_RNA from 1 species